rnacentral:rRNA from 1 species
GACGAACGCUGGCGGCGUGCUUAACACAUGCAAGUCGAACGGAAAGGCCCUGCUUUUGUGGGGUGCUCGAGUGGCGAACGGGUGAGUAACACGUGAGUAACCUGCCCUUGACUUUGGGAUAACUUCAGGAAACUGGGGCUAAUACCCGAUAGGAGCUCCUGCUGCAUGGUGGGGGUUGGAAAGUUUCGGCGGUUGGGGAUGGACUCGCGGCUUAUCAGCUUGUUGGUGGGGUAGUGGCUUACCAAGGCUGUGACGGGUAGCCGGCCUGGGAGGGUGACCGGCCACAUUGGGACUGAGAUACGGCCCAGACUCCUACGGGAGGCAGCGGUGGGGAAUAGUGCACAAUGGGCGGAAGCCUGAUGCAACAACGCCGCGUGCGGGAAGACGGCCUUCGGGUUGUAAACCGCUUUCGCCUGUGACGAAGCGUGAGUGACGGUAAUGGGUAAAGAAGCACCGGCUAACUACGUG